rnacentral:rRNA from 1 species
GACGAACGCUGGCGGCGUGCUUAACACAUGCAAGUCGUACGGUAAGGCCCUUUCGGGGGUACACGAGUGGCGAACGGGUGAGUAACAGGUGAGUAACCUGCCCACAACUUUGGGAUAACGCUAGGAAACUGGUGCUAAUACUGGUAAUGUGCUCUUGCUGCAUGGGGGGGGUUGGAAAGAUCCGGCGGUUGUGGGUGGACUGGCGGGCUAUCAGCUUGUUGGUGGGGUAGUGGGCUACCAAGGCGGCGACGGGAAGCCGGACUGAGAGGGUGACCGGCCACCUUGGGACCGAGGGACGGCCCAGACUCCUACGGGAGGCAGAAGGGGGGAAUAUUGCACAAUGGGCGCAAGCCUGAUGCAGCAGCGCCGCGGGCGGGAUGACGGCCUUCGGGUUGAAGACCGCUUUCAGCAGGAACGAAGCUUUUUGUGACGGUACCUGCAGAAGAAGCACCGGCUAACUACGUG